UUCUCUUCUCUGACGUUCGGCUAAGAUCAAGUGUAGUAUCCAUUCUUAUCAGUCUGCUAUCUAAUACAUCCCCUAACUGGAGAACAUGAAAUAGAUUUGUGGAACAGGGUAAAAAAAUAAAAAAUCCUUCCAUUUUUUGCGAGGACACAUCCUCUGUGGUCUGUGAGUGGAAAUGUGUCUUAUGUUG
ensembl:snRNA U2 U2 spliceosomal RNA